GGAGAGAUGGCAGAGCGGUUGAAUGCGGCAGUCUCGAAAACUGUUGUGCCCUUUGGGUACCGGGAGUUCGAAUCUCCCUCUCUCCGCCA
rnacentral:tRNA from 1 species